rnacentral:rRNA from 1 species
GAUGAACGCUGGCGGCGUGCCUAAUACAUGCAAGUCGAGCGAACGGACGAGAAGCUUGCUUCUCUGAUGUUAGCGGCGGACGGGUGAGUAACACGUGGAUAACCUACCUAUAAGACUGGGAUAACUUCGGGAAACCGGAACUAAUACCGGAUAAUAUUUUGAACCGCAUGGUUCAAAAGUGAAAGACGGUCUUGCUGUCACUUAUAGAUGGAUCCGCGCUGCAUUAGCUAGUUGGUAAGGUAACGGCUUACCAAGGCAACGAUGCAUAGCCGACCUGAGAGGGUGAUCGGCCACACUGGAACUGAGACACGGUCCAGACUCCUACGGGAGGCAGCAGUAGGGAAUCUUCCGCAAUGGGCGGAAGCCUGACGGAGCAACGCCGCGUGAGUGAUGAAGGUCUUCGGAUCGUAAAACUCUGUUAUUAGGGAAGAACAUAUGUGUAAGUAACUGUGCACAUCUUGACGGUACCUAAUCAGAAAGCCACGGCUAACUACGUG